rnacentral:rRNA from 1 species
AUUGAACGCUGGCGGCAGGCCUAAUACAUGCAAGUCGAGCGGAGCUGCGGACGGGCGAGUAAUGCCUAGGUAUCUGCCUGGACGAUGGGGCUAACGUCCGGAAAGGGGCGCUAAUACCGCAUACUAUCAGAUGAGACUAGGUCGGAUUAGCUAGUUGGUGGGGUAAAGGCCUACCAAGGCGACGAUCCGUAACUGGUCUGAGAGGAUGAUCAGUCACACUGGAACUGAGACACGGUCCAGACUCCUACGGGAGGCAGCAGUGGGGAAUAUUGCACAAUGGGCGAAAGCCUGACCCAGCCAUGCCGCGUGUGUGAAGAAGGUCUUCGGAUUGUAAAUCACUUUAAGUUGGGAGGCGUUACCAACAGAAUAAGCACCGGCUAACUUCGUGCCAGCCGCCGCGGUAAUUC